rnacentral:rRNA from 1 species
CCUACGGGAGGCAGCAGUGGGGAAUAUUGCACAAUGGGGGAAACCCUGAUGCAGCAACGCCGCGUGAGUGAAGAAGUAUUUCGGUAUGUAAAGCUCUAUCAGCAGGGAAGAAGAAAGACGGUAUCUGACUAAGAAGCGCCGGCUAACAACGCGCCAGAAGCCGCGGUAAUACGUAUGGGGCAAGCGUUAUCCGGAUUUACUGGGUGUAAAGGGAGCGUAGACGGCGGUGUAAGUCUGAAGUGAAAGACCGGGGCUCAACCGCGGAACUGCUUUGGAAACUGGAUAGCUUGAGUGCUGGAGAGGCAGGCGGAAUUCCGAGUGUAGCGGUGAAAUGCGUAGAUAUUAGGAGGAACACCAGUGGCGAAGGCGGCCUGCUGGACAGAAACUGACGUUGAGGCUCGAAAGCGUGGGGAGCAAACAGGAUUAGAUACCCCAGUAGUC